GGGGGAUAAAUUAAUAAAGUAUAAAUAAUAAAAGAAUUUUUAAUAUUAAAUAACUUAAUGGGGGUUAAAGUAUAUUUAAUAGAAAAAAUUGAAAAAAUUUAUAGUAAAUUAGUAUUGUAAAAGAAAUUUGAAAUAUAUUGAAAAUAAAUUUAUGUAAAAGUAAAUUUAAUUUAUUGUAUCUUGUGUAUCAGAGUUUAUUAAUAAUAUUUUUUAUUUAAAAAUUUUCUCGAAUUUAAAAGAGAUAAUUAAUUAUUAAAGUUAAUGUUGAAUAAUUAUUUUAAAUAAUUAAUUUGAAAUGAAAUGUUAAUCGUUUUUAAAUAUAUCUAGUUUUUUUAGAAAAAAAUUUAAUUUUAAAUUUUAGAAUAUGUAUAAUUUUAAUUAGUUAAAAUUAUAUUUUUAAAAUUAAAUAUUUUAAGGGAUAAGCUUUAAAAUAAAUUUUUAUAAUAAAUUUUUAUAAUAAUUAAAAUUUUUAAAAUUUAUAUUGUUUAUAAAUUAUAAUUUUUUAUAAAUAAUUUUAAUUUAAUUAAAAUUUAAAAUUUAUUUAAUUUAUUUUUAUAAAAAAAUGUUUUAUAAUAAUUUAAAUUUAGAUAUAAUGAUAAAAUUAGUAUAUAAUUAAAUAAAAAUAAUUUAUUUUUUGAUAAUUUGAUAAAAGGAAUUCGGCAAAAAUUUAUAUUCACUUGUUUAUCAAAAACAUGUCUUUUUGAUUAAUAAUUUAAAGUCUAAUCUGCCCACUGAUAUAAUAUUAAAGGGCUGCAGUAUUUUGACUGUACAAAGGUAGCAUAAUCAUUAGUCUCUUAAUUGGUGACUUGUAUGAAAGAUUUGAUGAAAUAUAUACUGUCUCUUUUUGAUUUGUAAAAUUUAAUUUUUUAGUUAAAAAGCUAAAAUAUGUUUAAAAGACGAGAAGACCCUAUAGAGUUUUAUAUUUAUAUAAAUUAAAAUUUUUUGUAAGAUUUAAAAUUUUGAUAUAUUUAAAUAUUAUGUUGGGGUGACGAAAAAAUUUGAAUAACUUUUUUUAUAAAUUAAACAUUUAUUAAUGAAUAUUUGAUCCGUAAUUUACGAUUAUAAGAAAAAAUUACCUUAGGGAUAACAGCGUAAUUUUUUUUUUUAGUUCAAAUAAGAAUUAAAGUUUGCGACCUCGAUGUUGGAUUAAGAUAAAAUUUAAAUGCAAAAGUUUAAAAUUUUUGAUCUGUUCGAUCAUUAAAAUCUUACAUGAUCUGAGUUCAAACCGGUGUAAGCCAGGUUGGUUUCUAUCUUUAAAUUUAUAAAAUAUUUUAGUACGAAAGGAUCAGAUAUUUAAAAUAAUUUUAUAUAAUAAGAAUUUUAAUAAUAGUAUAUUUAUAU
rnacentral:rRNA from 1 species